rnacentral:rRNA from 1 species
GGAUUAGAAACCCGGGUAGUCCAUGCCGUAAACGUUGGGCGCUAGGUGUGGGGUCCUAUCCACGGAUUCCGUGCCGCAGCUAACGCAUUAAGCGCCCCGCCUGGGGAGUACGGCCGCAAGGCUAAAACUCAAAGGAAUUGACGGGGGCCCGCACAAGCGGCGGAGCAUGCGGAUUAAUUCGAUGCAACGCGAAGAACCUUACCAAGGCUUGACAUACGCCGGAAACACUCAGAGAUGGGUGCCCCGCAAGGUCGGUGUACAGGUGGUGCAUGGUUGUCGUCAGCUCGUGUCGUAAGAUGUUGGGUUAAGUCCCG